GACGAACGCUGGCGGCGUGCUUAACACAUGCAAGUCGAGCGGAAAGGCCCUUCGGGGUACUCGAGCGGCGAACGGGUGAGUAACACGUGAGUAAUCUGCCCUUGGCUUCGGGAUAGCCACCGGAAACGGUGAUUAAUACCGGAUACGACCACUCCUGGCAUCUGGUGGGGGUGGAAAGUUUUUCGGCCAGGGAUGUGCUCGCGGCCUAGCAGCUUGAUGGUGAGGUAAUGGCUCCCCAUGGCUUCGACGGGUAGCCGGCCUGAGAGGGUGACCGGUCACACUGGGACUGAGAAACGGCCCAGACUCCUACGGGAGGCAGCAGUGGGGAAUAUUGGACAAUGGGCGGAAGCCUGAUCCAGCAACGCCGCGUGAGGGAUGACGGCCUUCGGGUUGUAAACCUCUUUCAGCAGGGACGAAGCGCAAGUGACGGUACCUGCAGAAGAAGCACCGGCCAACUACGUGCCAGCCGCCGCUGUAAUAC
rnacentral:rRNA from 1 species